rnacentral:sRNA from 1 species
GCUGGGUGUGGUGGCACACGCCUGUAAUUCCACUGGCUCUGGAAGCUGAGGCAGGAGGAUCCUGAAUUCAAAGCCAUUCUCAGCAAUGGUAAGAUGCUUAGCAACACAGUGAGACCCUGUCUCUA